UAAUUGGAGAGUUUGAUCCUGGCUCAGAUUGAACGCUGGCGGCAUGCUUUACACAUGCAAGUCGAACGGCAGCACGGGUGCUUGCA
rnacentral:rRNA from 1 species